UAGGGAAUCUUCGGCAAUGGACGAAAGUCUGACCGAGCAACGCCGCGUGAGUGAAGAAGGUUUUCGGAUCGUAAAACUCUGUUGUUAGAGAAGAACAAGGACGUUAGUAACUGAACGUCCCCUGACGGUAUCUAACCAGAAAGCCACGGCUAACUACGUGCCAGCAGCCGCGGUAAUACGUAGGUGGCAAGCGUUGUACGGAUUUAUUGGGCGUAAAGCGAGCGCAGGCGGUUUCUUAAGUCUGAUGUGAAAGCCCCCGGCUCAACCGGGGAGGGUAAUUGGAAACUGGGAGACUUGAGUGCAGAAGAGGAGAGUGGAAUUCCAUGUGUAGCGGUGAAAUGCGUAGAUAUAUGGAGGAACACCAGUGGCGAAGGCGGCUCUCUGGUCUGUAACUGACGCUGAGGCUCGAAAGCGUGGGGAGCAAACAGG
rnacentral:rRNA from 1 species